UCGACUUUUGCGAUCGACCUGGCGAGAUGGAUCAGCAAAGGAUCAGCGUGAUCCCUUCGGUCCUGAUUCGACCCGACUCCCAAGCCCGAUCAUCAUUGAGCCGACAAUAAUAGCUUAAGUAUGAUGUCAACCUAGAUACCGUUCUUGCCAGGUUCUUUCCCACUGUUUCCUAGCGAGCCUUGGUGACACCCGUUUCACAACAUCGCUUUAAAAAUACCGAAAUACCGCAGCGAGGAACGCACGAUCGAAACUCGACUCGAACAGACACAAACGAUCGAGCAAACGCGUUUGCCAGCACGAUCCAGCCUUGAUGCAGCUUCUAUUUGCACAACAAACGGCACAGCAUCUACAAGCACCAUUGAAAGAUGCCGCUUUCCAAUGACAGAUGUCAAAUGUCAGCAUAACAAUGUUAAAGUAAACAACAACAAAAUCAAAUCAUUCGCUAAAGCGACGUAGUGACCAUUGGCGGACAUCUUGAAAUAGAAACCUGAUGUAUCUUUAUUCGCUUCGUAUCCCACCAGCCCGUUCAGAAGGGAAGGGUUGAACAAGAUGUCUGUAGCUCGAAAAAGUACUCCCGUAAAAGUAAACAAACUUUCAGCCACAUCCCGAAGCGGCACCGCACAACAAAGUGUGAUGGAUAUUUCAAUUUCCCCUGCACCUUCCCUGCCGAGAAGAGAAGUGAGUUCACGGGCCAAACUCCUCGAAGCGCACAGAGAACUACUGCCCCGUUUGGCACUUGUGUCAGAAAACAGUGCGUUCACUGUUCCCGCGCCCCUGCCUUCGCUCGGAACGCACUGAAGUGCGAAACCAUUCCAACAACCCCUUUCGACGCUCACUCAAGUACAGCACUGGUGCUUCAAACUGUUGGCGGCAACAUUAGAAGGCUCAUCGCUAACCACCACGCAACCACGGAACAUCUUCAUUCGCUCGGACAUUAAUGGUGCUGGUUUAUAAUCGUAGCGUUUUAUCCCCGCAUCCAUGGCAAAAUGCAGUAAAUAUGAUAUGUGAUUGCUUGCUUUCCAAUGCCAUCGGAACCAACCCACUCGAUACUGAAUCCCACCCAGCGACAAGUGUGGAUUGAUUUAGAUUGAAAACUCAGCCCAAAUCGUUCGAUCGAUAAUUUUCACCCACUCCCAACGGAAAUAGUCCAGGUGCAGGAUUCGAUCGUUGUGUCUUUUAUGAUCCUCAACACCACCUUCGGCCGUGGCAGUAAACGUGAAUCAAAUAUUAUAAUCAAUCGCAAUGAAAAUGUUACGACGUGACUGAAAUGGAUCGACCCCAGCUCUACACGGGGUCGUCUACACGAUGACGGAUGUCAACUGACCGACCGGAUGCUGAUAAAGCUGUGGCGAUACUUUCUGUGCGAUAAACGACGACAGCAACACGCGACAUUAAUGGUGCUGGUUUAUAAUCGUAGCGUUUUAUCCCCGCAUCCAUGGCAAAAUGCAGUAAAUAUGAUAUGUGAUUGCUUGCUUUCCAAUGCCAUCGGAACCAACCCACUCGAUACUGAAUCCCACCCAGCGACAAGUGUGGAUUGAUUUAGAUUGAAAACUCAGCCCAAAUCGUUCGAUCGAUAAUUUUCACCCACUCCCAACGGAAAUAGUCCAGGUGCAGGAUUCGAUCGUUGUGUCUUUUAUGAUCCUCAACACCACCUUCGGCCGUGGCAGUAAACGUGAAUCAAAUAUUAUAAUCAAUCGCAAUGAAAAUGUUACGACGUGACUGAAAUGGAUCGACCCCAGCUCUACACGGGGUCGUCUACACGAUGACGGAUGUCAACUGACCGACCGGAUGCUGAUAAAGCUGUGGCGAUACUUUCUGUGCGAUAAACGACGACAGCAACACGCGGUGAGUGGGAUUUCGAUUUUUGGUACAAGGUUUUCUUUGAACGUAAUUCAUCGCCAAUCACGGCAACCUAACGGUAUUGAAGAUGGUGGUAAGACACGCACACAAGCGCACAGGAAUAGUAAUGAGACCGUGGGAAUGUUGAAAGUAUUUUUUUAAAGGAAUUAGAUUGAAUAAUUCUUAAACAUGGUCUCAAUCCGUUACGUCUCGUAGGAGGAAGGAAGUGUAAUCAAUGUAAAGGUCAGUCUCGUUGACAGUUAAUGAAGUGACAAAAUAGUUUAUGUGCAUAUGGAGUCUUUUAAGAGUGGCCACCCAGAAAGAAUUUCCACACCUACAACUAGUGUUCA